rnacentral:tRNA from 1 species
GCCUAAGUGGCUCAGUCAGUUAAGCGUCUGACUUCGGCUCAGGUCAUGAUCUCCAGGUUCGAGGGUUCCAGCCCUGCCUUGGGCU